UACGGGAGGCAGCAGUGAGGAAUAUUGGUCAAUGGAGGCAACUCUGAACCAGCCUUGCCGCGUGAAGGAUGACGGCCCUAUGGGUUGUAAACUUCUUUUAUAGGAGGAAGAAACUUGUCUACGGUAACAACUGACG
rnacentral:rRNA from 1 species